GGCAUGGUGGUGCAGUGGGUAGCACUGUUGCCUCACAUCAAGAAUGUCAUGGGUUUGAAUCCAGCCUGAUGCCC